rnacentral:rRNA from 1 species
UAGAGUUUGAUCCUGGCUCAGGAUGAACGCUGGCGGCGUGCCUAAUACAUGCAAGUCGAACGCACAGCGAAAGGUGCUUGCACCUUUCAAGUGAGUGGCGAACGGGUGAGUAACACGUGGAUAACCUACCUCAAGGUUGGGGAUAACAUUUGGAAACAGAUGCUAAUACCGAAUAAAACUUCGUAUCGCAUGAUACAAGGUUAAAAGGCGCUACGGCGUCACCUAGAGAUGGAUCCGCGGUGCAUUAGUUAGUUGGUGGGGUAAAGGCCUACCAAGACAAUGAUGCAUAGCCGAGUUGAGAGACUGAUCGGCCACAUUGGGACUGAGACACGGCCCAAACUCCUACGGGAGGCUGCAGUAGGGAAUCUUCCACAAUGGGCGAAAGCCUGAUGGAGCAACGCCGCGUGUGUGAUGAAGGCUUUCGGGUCGUAAAGCACUGUUGUAUGGGAAGAACAGCUAGAGUAGGGAAUGACUUUAGUUUGACGGUACCAUACCAGAAAGGGACGGCUAAAUACGUGCCAGCAGCCGCGGUAAUACGUAUGUCCCGAGCGUUAUCCGGAUUUAUUGGGCGUAAAGCGAGCGCAGACGGUUGAUUAAGUCUGAUGUGAAAGCCCGGAGCUCAACUCCGGAAAGGCAUUGGAAACUGGUCAACUUGAGUGCAGUAGAGGUAAGUGGAACUCCAUGUGUAGCGGUGGAAUGCGUAGAUAUAUGGAAGAACACCAGCGGCGAAGGCGGCUUACUGGACUGUAACUGACGUUGAGGCUCGAAAGUGUGGGUAGCAAACAGGAUUAGAUACCCUGGUAGUCCACACCGUAAACGAUGAGCACUAGGUGUUAGGAGGUUUCCGCCUCUUAGUGCCGAAGCUAACGCAUUAAGUGUUCCGCCUGGGGGAGUACGACCGCAAGGUUGAAACUCAAAG